AUCAAAAAUCUCAAAAGCUCUCUUCUCUUCCUAAUUCUCUCAAACCUCCAUUGGAGGAAAGCUCAACCUCAAGCUAGAAGAUGAAUCUUUGAACGAUUUCUUCUCCAAUUUCAUGGGUAUUCAAUCAAUAAGGUCCAUCAAUGUUUUAUUAUUUUCUUGGUUGCUAUCUGCUAGAACUUGGAAUCUAUUGCAAUGGAGGUUGCAAGUUGCAACAAUGUUUUGUUGGUUUUCUAAAUCUCUUUUGUUGCUGGAAGUUGUAAUGAGCCAGAUAAUGAUUACACUUUCAAUGAUUUUAAUUACUUAAAAUGAUUUCUAAGAA